AUCUUGUACUGAAUCCAUAGGUGCAAGAGGCGAACCAGGGGAACUGAAACAUCUAAGUACCCUGAGGAAAAGAAAUCAACCGAGAUUCCCUUAGUAGUGGCGAGCGAACGGGGAUUAGCCCUUAAGCUUCAUUGAUUUUAGCGGAACGCUCUGGAAAGUGCGGCCAUAGUGGGUGAUAGCCCCGUACGCGAAAGGAUCUUUGAAGUGAAAUCGAGUAGGACGGAGCACGAGAAACUUUGUCUGAACAUGGGGGGACCAUCCUCCAAGGCUAAAUACUACUGACUGACCGAUAGUGAACCAGUACCGUGAGGGAAAGGCGAAAAGAACCCCGGAGAGGGGAGUGAAAUAGAACCUGAAACCGUAUGCGUACAAGCAGUGGGAGCCUACUUGUUAGGUGACUGCGUACCUUUUGUAUAAUGGGUCAGCGACUUAUAUUCAGUGGCAAGCUUAACCGUAUAGGGUAGGCGUAGCGAAAGCGAGUCUUAAUAGGGCGUUUAGUCGCUGGGUAUAGACCC
rnacentral:rRNA from 1 species